rnacentral:rRNA from 1 species
UACGUAGGGUGCAAGCGUUGUCCGGAAUUAUUGGGCGUAAAGAGCUCGUAGGCGGUCUGUUGCGUCGGCUGUGAAAACCCGAGGCUCAACCUCGGGCCUGCAGCCGAUACGGGCAGACUAGAGUUCGGCAGGGGAGACUGGAAUUCCUGGUGUAGCGGUGAAAUGCGUAGAUAUCAGGAGGAACACCUGUGGCGAAAGCGGCUCACUGGACCACAACUGACGCUGGAUGCACGAAAGCUAGGGGAGCAAACAGG